rnacentral:rRNA from 1 species
GAACUCAGAUCAUGUAAUCUACCUCCAUAAAAUAAGUAAUAACUAUUGAAUCCUGUUCCACCUGUCUUCGGUUGGGGCGACCACGGGGAAUAAAAAAUCCCCCAUGUGGACCAGGAGCACAUACUCCUACAACCAUGAGCCACAGCUCUAAUGCACAAAACAUUUGACCAUUAGAUCCGGCAAAGCCGAUUAACGGACCAAGUUACCCUAGGGAUAACAGCGCAAUCCCCUUUAAGAGUUCAUAUCGACAAGGGGGUUUACGACCUCGAUGUUGGAUCAAGACAUCCUAAUGGUGCAGCCGCUAUUAAGGGUUCGUUUGUUCAACGAUUAAAGUCUUACAUGAUCUGAGUUC